rnacentral:rRNA from 1 species
AACUCAAAGGAAUUGACGGGGGCCCGCACAAGCGGAGGAACAUGUGGUUUAAUUCGAUGAUACGCGAGGAACCUUACCCGGGCUUAAAUUGCAGCGGAAUGAUGUGGAAACAUGUCAGUGAGCAAUCACCGCUGUGAAGGUGCUGCAUGGUUGUCGUCAGCUCGUGCCGUGAGGUGUCGGCUUAAGUGCCAUAACGAGCGCAACCCUUGUUGCCAGUUACUAACAGGUAAUGCUGAGGACUCUGGCAAGACUGCCAUCGUAAGAUGUGAGGAAGGUGGGGAUGACGUCAAAUCAGCACGGCCCUUACGUCCGGGGCUACACACGUGUUACAAUGGGGGGUACAGAGGGUCGCUACCACGCAAGUGGAUGCCAAUCCCCAAAACCUCUCUCAGUUCGGAUUGAAGUCUGCAACCCGACUUCAUGAAGCUGGAUUCGCUAGUAAUCGCGCAUCAGCCACGGCGCGGUGAAUACGUUCCCGGGCCUUGUACACACCGCCCGUC